rnacentral:rRNA from 1 species
CACGGGGGGAGCAAGCGUUGUUCGGAAUCACUGGGCGUAAAGGGCGUGUAGGCGGUUCAGCAAGUGGAAUGUGAAAUGCCCCGGCUCACCCGGGGACCUGCAUUCCAAACUGCUCAGCUCGAGUAUGGGAGAGGAUGAGGGAAUUCCUGGUGUAGCGGUGAAAUGCGUAGAUAUCAGGAGGAACACCGGUGGCGAAAGCGCUCAUCUGGCCCAAUACUGACGCUGAGGCGCGAAAGCUAGGGGAGCAAACGGGAUUAGAUACCCCCGUAGUCC